AUUGAACGCUGGCGGCAUGCCUUACACAUGCAAGUCGAACGGUAACAGGUUAAGCUGACGAGUGGCGAACGGGUGAGUAAUGUAUCGGAACGUGCCCAGUCGUGGGGGAUAACUGCUCGAAAGAGCAGCUAAUACCGCAUACGAUCUGUGGAUGAAAGCGGGGGACCGAAAGGCCUCGCGCGAUUGGAGCGGCCGAUGUCAGAUUAGGUAGUUGGUGGGGUAAAGGCCCACCAAGCCAACGAUCUGUAGCUGGUCUGAGAGGACGACCAGCCACACUGGGACUGAGACACGGCCCAGACUCCUACGGGAGGCAGCAGUGGGGAAUUUUGGACAAUGGGCGCAAGCCUGAUCCAGCAAUGCCGCGUGCAGGAAGAAGGCCUUCGGGUUGUAAACUGCUUUUGUACGGAACGAAACGGCUCUGGUUAAUACCUGGGGCUAAUGACGGUACCGUAAGAAUAAGCACCGGCUAACUACGUGCCAGCCGCCGCCGUAACAC
rnacentral:rRNA from 1 species